rnacentral:pre_miRNA from 7 species
UUUUUUGGAGACAAGGUUUUUCUGUGUAGCCUGGCUGUUCUGAAACUUGUAAGACCCCCUUUCGGGGACCCCCACUCUAGUCUCAGGGGAAAGAAAGCACACCCAAAGAAACACGAGAAUCC